AUACCUUUCUCGGCCUUUUGGCUAAGAUCAAGUGUAGUAUCUGUUCUUAUCAGUUUAAUAUCUGAUAUGUGAGGCCUCGCCCUCACAAUGAUAUUAAAUUUAUUUUUUAUGGGGGAGGAUCCGCUAUGAUAGCUUGCUAUUUGGGUCCUUGUGUGUCGCUCUAGCGUUGCACUAUUGCUGGAGCUUGGCACACCCCAA
rnacentral:snRNA from 2 species